rnacentral:lncRNA from 1 species
GAUGGGUGUUGUAUUGCUUUCCGUGGAUCAAGAAAGAUGAUCUGUCUUAGGGAUUACAUAUGAGAAAUCUGCUUGGUCUAGAGACUCGAUGGGACUUUGCCUUUAAUACUAUACCAUCUAAUAAGGAUAGUAGGUAAGAAAGGACUUUUGGAGCUCCUUUCUUCAGGAAGCAUAGUCUCUGGGAUCUUUUGGGUGGUGACACUUGUCAUGCAAUCAAUGGGACA